rnacentral:lncRNA from 1 species
GGGGUGCUCUCUUUGACAGCCGCGUUCAUGUCUAUAAAAAGAAUCGUUCUUUCAAAACCAGGAAGAACAUUCAUACCAUCGUAUUUUGAAAUAAUUAUCAGUUUUUUUGUUAGUAUAGUAAUGAGGUUUAGUGAGGUAAGCAUGAUAAGUGUCCAAUCUAGUUUUAAGAAAUUUUUUGCUUUGAUUUUAUUAGAAAAUUGACUGGCGGAGGUUGUUUUUUUCAUGCACGGUCUGUUUUUGCUAUUGUUGAAGAAUGAUGAAGUCAUACAAAAAAAAACCAGUUACAUUCAUUUGGACUUUUUUACUAGAAAUUAUAAGUAUCUUUGAAUGUUAUUUAUGAACAGGUAUAAAAUGUGUUAAGCAUUGUGAAAGUUUCUUGUGCGUGUCUAGGUUGUUUUUUUGUCAAGGAGAAACCCACUGGCAAAACAACAAUCAAUUAUGGAAAUGUAAAAAGUAUAUGCAUAUUUUUAUUUCAUAUUUUAUAACGCUAUGCGGUGCAUUUGUUAUUGUAUCAUCCAAAAAAAUAAUAGUCAUCAGGACAUUAGGAAAGCAUAAAAUAGAUAAAAGAUGUGGUGUGAUUGCCAAUGAGACAACUCUCCAUAAGAGACCAAAAAUAACAAAGAAAUUAACAGUUAUAGGUCACCGUACGUCCUUCAGCAAUGAGCAAAGCCCAUACCGCAUAGUCAUCUAUAAAAGGCCCCAAAAUGACAAUGUAAAACAUUUCAAACGAGAAAACUAACGACCUGAUUUAUGUAAAAAUUGAACAAAAAACAAAUAUGCAACGACAACCCCUGAAUUACAGGCCGACAUGGGACAGGC